GCUAGGACUAGGAGCACAGGUCACCUCUCCUGGCUUUCUUUUUCAUAAUUCUUGCAGUUUUAAUCCCUCCCUUCCCGUACUACCAGAGCAGUUUUGAAACCUCUAUUAUUACGUUUUAUCAGGGUCUGCCAUAUACUAGUUUAUCUGAGUGUUUGUCUUCCAGAUUAGAGUUAUGGUUCCUCGACAGGCAGAUAAUCAUGUCUUCUUUGUUUAGAGAUGAAUAAACACCUAGCAUGGUGCUCUGAAUAUAGUAUGUGCUUAACAAAUGCUUGUUGGAUUGAACCAGUAUGAAUUUAAGUUCUUUUGUUGGACAGAGAGGUAUGCCUGCUUUAGAGCUGUUUCCUCUCCUCCUGAGAUCUUUCUGUGCUGUUUUACUGAGCAGGGAAGAAUAGCGUUGCUAAAUGCAUGUUUACCAAAAUGACAUUUUAUUUUUGGGACUUUUAUGAUUCCUUAUGGACUUCUUAGUGUGAGAAUUAUGGAGAGUUUAUAGCUUUGAAAUGGUGGUAUAGAUUUUUGAGAUGGAGUUUAGCUCUUGUCUCCCAGGCUGGAGUGCAAUGGCACAAUCUCAGCUCAUUGCAACCUUUGCCUCCC
rnacentral:lncRNA from 10 species